AGAGUUUGAUCAUGGCUCAGAGCGAACGCUGGCGGCGUGCUAACACAUGCAAGUCGAACGUGAACGGCUUCGGCCUAGUAAAGUGGCGUACGGGUGAGUAACGCGUAGGUAAUCUACCUCAGAGUCUGGAAUAACCCGGCCGAAAGGCUGGCUAAUACUGGAUAGAGCGAUGGGAUCCGUAAUUGGGUCUUUCGGGAAAGGGAGCUCGUCAAGAGCCCUCGCUUUGGGAUGAGCCUGCGUCUCAUUAGCUAGUUGGUGGGGUAAUGGCCCACCAAGGCUUUGAUGGGUAGCUGGUCUGAGAGGAUGAUCAGCCACACUGGAACUGAAACACGGUCCAGACUCCUACGGGAGGCAGCAGUGGGGAAUCUUGCGCAAUGGACGAAAGUCUGACGCAGCCACGCCGCGUGAGUGAAGAAGGCCUUCGGGUUGUAAAGCUCUGUCGGAGGGGACGAAAAUACUUGGAGUUAACAGCUCCAGGGACUGACGGUACCCUCAAAGGAAGCACCGGCUAACUCCGUGCCAGCAGCCGCGGUAAUACGGAGGGUGCAAGCGUUGCUCGGAAUUAUUGGGCGUAAAGGGCAGGUAGGUGGUCCGAUUUGUCUGGGGUGAAAUCCUUGAGCUUAACUCAAGAAGUGCCCCAGAAACGGUCGGACUAGAGUGCUGGAGAGGCUAGCGGAAUACCCGGUGUAGCGGUGAAAUGCGUAGAGAUCGGGUGGAACACCAGAGGCGAAGGCGGCUAGCUGGACAGUGACUGACACUCAACUGCGAAAGCGUGGGGAGCAAACAGGAUUAGAUACCCUGUAGUCCACGCUGUAAACGAUGGGUACUAGGCUUGGCGGGUUUGACCCCUGCCGAGCCGGAGCUAACGCAAUAAGUACCCGCCUGGGAGUACGGUCGCAGACUAAACUCAAGGAUGACGGAUCGUCGACUGCAGCAUGCAGCUUGCACUGGCGUCGUUUACACGUCGUGACUGGGAAACCUGCGUACCCACUAUCGCUGCAGCACAUCCCCUUCGUCAGCUG
rnacentral:rRNA from 1 species